rnacentral:rRNA from 1 species
GACGAACGCUGGCGGCGUGCUUAACACAUGCAAGUCGAACGAUGAAGCUAGAGCUUGCUCUGGUGAAUUAGUGGCGAACGGGUGAGUAACACGUGAGUAACCUGCCCCGAACUCUGGGAUAACUGCUGGAAACGGUAGCUAAUACUGGAUACGACCUACGAAGGCAUCUGCUGUAGGUGGAAAGAAUUUCGGUUCGGGGUGGACUCGCGGCCUAUCAGCUUGUUGGUGAGGUAAUGGCUCACCAAGGCGACGACGGGUAGUCGGCCGGAGAGGGUGACCGGCCACACUGGGACUGAGACACGGCCCAGACUCCUACGGGAGGCAGCAGUGGGGAAUAUUGCACAAUGGGCGAAAGCCUGAUGCAGCAACGCCGCGUGAGGGAUGACGGCCUUCGAGUUGUAAACCUCUUUUAGUAGGGAAGAAGCGAAAGUGACGGUACCUGCAGAAAAAGCACCGGCUAACUACGUGCCAGCAGCCGCGGUAA